UUUUAGAAAUUAAUUUAAAGUCUAACCUGCCCACUGAAUUAUUUUAAAUGGCCGCAGUAUUUUAACUGUGCAAAGGUAGCAUAAUCAUUAGUCUUUUAAUUGAAGGCUGGAAUGAAUGGUUGAAUGAAAUAUUAACUGUUUCAUAUAAAUUUAUAAUAGAAUUUUAUUUUUUAGUGAAAAAGCUAAAAUGUUAUUAAAAGACGAGAAGACCCUAUAAAUCUUUAUAUUUAAAUAAUUUUAAUUAUUUGGAUAAGUUAAAUUAUAAUUAAUUUAAAUAUUUUAUUGGGGUGAUAUUAAAAUUUAAUAAACUUUUAAUUUAUUAUAAACAUAAAUUAAUGAAUUAUUGAUCCAUUUAUUAUGAUUAAAAAAUUAAGUUACUUUAGGGAUAACAGCGUAAUUUUUUUAGAGAGUUCAUAUUGAUAAAAA
rnacentral:rRNA from 1 species